rnacentral:rRNA from 1 species
UGGGGAAUAUUGCACAAUGGGCGCAAGCCUGAUGCAGCCAUGCCGCGUGUGUGAAGAAGGCCUUCGGGUUGUAAAGCACUUUCAGCGAGGAGGAAGGUGGUGAGCUUAAUACGCUCAUCAAUUGACGUUACUCGCAGAAGAAGCACCGGCUAACUCCGUGCCAGCAGCCGCGGUAAUACGGAGGGUGCAAGCGUUAAUCGGAAUUACUGGGCGUAAAGCGCACGCAGGCGGUUUGUUAAGUCAGAUGUGAAAUCCCCGGGCUCAACCUGGGAACUGCAUUUGAAACUGGCAAGCUAGAGUCUCGUAGAGGGGGGUAGAAUUCCAGGUGUAGCGGUGAAAUGCGUAGAGAUCUGGAGGAAUACCGGUGGCGAAGGCGGCCCCCCGGACGAAGACUGACGCUCAGGUGCGAAAGCGUGGGGCAGCAAACAGGAUUAGAUACCCUGGUAGUCCACGCUGUAAACGAUGUCGAUUUGGAGGUUGUGCCC